rnacentral:rRNA from 1 species
UACGUAGGUGGCGAGCGUUGUCCGGAUUUAUUGGGCGUAAAGCGCGCGCAGGUGGUGCGGUAAGUCUGCCGUGAAAUCUCCCGGCUCAACUGGGAGGGGGCGGUGGAGACUGCCGGACUAGAGGGACUCAGAGGCCGGUGGAAUUCCCGGUGUAGCGGUGAAAUGCGUAGAUAUCGGGAGGAAUACCUAUGGCGAAAGCAGGUUUCUGGGCCGUCACUGACGCUGAUCUGCGAAAGCUAGGGGAGCAAACAGG